UCGGUAGCUUAGUUGGUAGAGCCAUUUUUUAGCAUACAGGAGACCUGGGUUCGAAUCCCAGCCGA
rnacentral:tRNA from 1 species